CCUACGGGAGACAGCAGUAGGGAAUAUUGCUCAAUGGGGGAAACCCUGAAGCAGCAACGCCGCGUGGAGGAUGAAGGUUUUCGGAUUGUAAACUCCUUUUGUUAGAGAAGAUAAUGACGGUAUCUAACGAAUAAGCACCGGCUAACUCCGUGCCAGCAGCCGCGGUAAUACGGAGGGUGCAAGCGUUACUCGGAAUCACUGGGCGUAAGGAGCGCGUAGGCGGGAUAGCAAGUCAGAUGUGAAAUCCUAUGGCUUAACCAUAGAACUGCAUUUGAAACUGUUAUUCUAGAGUAUGGGAGAGGUAGGUGGAAUUCUUGGUGUAGGGGUAAAAUCCGUAGAGAUCAAGAGGAAUACUCAUUGCGAAGGCGACCUGCUAGAACAUAACUGACGCUGAUGCGCGAAAGCGUGGGGAGCAAACAGGAUUAGAUACCCCAGUAGUC
rnacentral:rRNA from 1 species